rnacentral:rRNA from 1 species
GGAAGGAUCAUUACCGAGUUGAUUCGGGCUCCGGCCCGAUCCUCCCACCCUUUGUGUACCUACCUCUGUUGCUUUGGCGGGCCGCGGUCCUCCGCGGCCGGCCCCCCUCCCCGGGGGGUGGCCAGCGCCCGCCAGAGGACCAUCAAACUCCAGUCAGUAAACGAUGCAGUCUGAAAAACAUUUAAUAAACUAAAACUUUCAACAACGGAUCUCUUGGUUCUGGCAUCGAUGAAGAACGCAGCGAAAUGCGAUAAGUAAUGUGAAUUGCAGAAUUCAGUGAAUCAUCGAAUCUUUGAACGCACAUUGCGCCCUUUGGUAUUCCGAAGGGCAUGCCUGUUCGAGCGUCAUUACAACCCUCAAGCUCUGCUUGGUAUUGGGCACCGUCCUUUGCGGGCGCGCCUCAAAGACCUCGGCGGUGGCGUCUUGCCUCAAGCGUAGUAGAACAUACAUCUCGCUUCGGAGCGCAGGGCGUCGCCCGCCGGACGAACCUUCUGAACUUUUCUCAAGGUUGACCUCGGAU